AUUGAACGCUGGCGGCAGGCCUAACACAUGCAAGUCGAGCGGAUGCAGGGAGCUUGCUCCUGGAUUCAGCGGCGGACGGGUGAGUAAUGCCUAGGAAUCUGCCUGGUAGUGGGGGAUAACGUCCGGAAACGGGCGCUAAUACCGCAUACGUCCUGAGGGAGAAAGUGGGGGAUCUUCGGACCUCACGCUAUCAGAUGAGCCUAGGUCGGAUUAGCUAGUUGGUGGGGUAACGGCCUACCAAGGCGACGAUCCGUAACUGGUCUGAGAGGAUGAUCAGUCACACUGGAACUGAGACACGGUCCAGACUCCUACGGGAGGCAGCAGUGGGGAAUAUUGGACAAUGGGCGAAAGCCUGAUCCAGCCACGCCGCGUGUGUGAAGAAGGUCUUCGGAUUGUAAAGCACUUUAAGUUGGGAGGAAGGGCAGUAAGUUAAUACCUUGCUGUUUUGACGUUACCAACAGAAUAAGCACCGGCUAACUUCGUG
rnacentral:rRNA from 1 species